GCCCGGCUAGCCCAGCCGGUAGAGCAUGAGACUCUUAAUCUCAGGAUCGUUGUUUGAGCCCCACGCUGGGCA
rnacentral:tRNA from 1 species